AUCAAAAAUGACGAAUAUCCGCCUUUAAAAUGGCCGACAAAAUACAGCAUAGAAGCAACAAAACUGUACUUGACAUCGGGUUGGACCGAACAUUUUAAAUAUUGGCGGUCAACAUAUCUCUCUAGACUCGAUGCCAACAAUGGAGCGGUCAAACAAAUAAGAAUACCAGUAAUCAAGGAGGGUUAUAAAAUCGAUUUCGAGAUUCACCCUGAAACUACUGAAGAAGAAACAAACGAGAAGGUUUGCUAUCAGGUUAAGGAUUCAGAUACUGAUCCAGAUGAUCUAGAAGAGCCUAUAGGUUUUCUCCCAACAACCUACAAUUUAGAAGAAGUU